UGUGUAAAUAGAGUCUUUUUGUUAUUGCUUUGAAAAUUAAAAUGUAAAAAUCAGCCAUCUGUGUGUAAUUUUUUCAAGAAAGUCGGGAUGGUAGUCAGUUUGUAGAGUGUACCAUCUGCUUUAAGGAUUAUAAACAUGAUCAUGGAAUAGGACUAAUUUAAGAGACCACUGAAAAGAAAGCAUGGUGAGAAACUAGGAGCUUCGAAUUAGCAGUAGAACUGAAAGAUUUUCUCUGGCAUAUAUUAGACAGUUAUAAAUGUACAUGCUUGGCACUGUCAUUACGCCAAGAGAUGACAGCAUAGCAAAAUCAGCUGGCAGUGGCGUUACAAUUACUGUGUUGCUGUCUUCCGAGUAUUUAAACAACUUACUUUUCUGACGAUUUAUGCAGAAGUGCUUCCACUGUGUUAGCGAAUCGGAACAGAAUGAAAACUUUCGGGGUAACUGAAAACUCUCAGCUAUUGUGUAAUGGAAGCUGUUGUAUCGCCACUACUGUGAAGCUGACGAAACGCAAUCUUAUCAGCUUCUGUCAAGCACCAACUCUGAGCGGCGCGGUGACGCAAAAAGGAGUUGGUGACAAUGCCGCUCCUCAUCCUUCCAGCUGGCCGUUGGAGGCACCAAACAUGUUGACCUCACGGUUGAUGGCCACAGGGGCAAAGAAGAUUGACAGAGCAUCAAAUUCUUGAUGUACUAAUUUUUGAGAAACAAAAAAAUAAAAUACUGAAUUAUAAA